UUGGCCAGACCAGACUCAAACUUCCUAUCCUCUUAGUCUUGCAGAGUGCUGGCAUUAUAGGUGUGCACCUCCACACCUGGCUCUUUUAGCAUGUGUCCCCAGCUUGCUCACUGAGUCACCUUGACACCUUCUGAAGGCACUGGCAACUGUUCUAAUGGCAUCUUGGACAAAGCAGACAUAAGGCCUUUGCAGUUCUAUGAGCUCUACCUUCUCUUCGUGAAACCAUCUCCAUGUGACAACUGUAAGAGUCAACCUUUCCAAGC
rnacentral:lncRNA from 1 species